GUAACUCAAAUUUGUGUGGAGUUGGAACGUUUGUCUACGAUUGCCCCUAGGGGCGCUGUUCCAACUGCAUACAAAUUUGAGUUA
rfam:Bombyx mori DNA, contig: Bm_scaf91_contig34503, strain: p50T/Dazao, build 2, whole genome shotgun sequence.